rnacentral:rRNA from 1 species
ACUCCUACGGGAGGCAGCAGUAGGGAAUCUUCCACAAUGGACGAAAGUCUGAUGGAGCAAUGCCGCGUGAGUGAAGAAGGUUUUCGGAUCGUAAAACUCUGUUGUUGAAGAAGAACAUGCGUGAGAGUAACUGUUCACGUACUGACGGUAUUCAACCAGAAAGCCACGGCUAACUACGUGCCAGCAGCCGCGGUAAUAC